UGUAUUCUCUAGUCUGUAAUCAAAUAUGUGUAAUUCAUUCUAAAAGGUCACCUAUUGAAAGUCAAGAACAAAUGUAAAGGUGUGUGAACAACGGCAGGAUAACGGAAGGAUAAUACCCCGUCUAAAGACCUUCAUCGCCCCUCCGCUGAUGGCUGACCUUAGUGACCCUACCGUCGGGCUCAGCAGUCUUCCUCAAGAAAUGGUGCAGGACGGAUGGAAAAGCCCUUCAUCGCCUCCCGCUGAUGGAUGACCUCAGUGACCCCAUCACCAGGCUCAGCAGGUUUCCUGGAAGACACCCUAGAAGUGUUCCCAGAUGAGCAGGAUGGACGGACGGAUGGAAAAGCCCUUCAUCGCCUCCCAAGGAUGGACGGACGGAUGGAAAAGCCCUUCAUCGCCUCCCAAGGAUGGACGGACGGAUGGAAAAGCCCUUCAUCGCCUCCCAAGGAUGGAUGGACGGAUGGAAAAGCCCUUCAUCGCCUCCCGCUGAUGGAUGACCUCAGUGACCCCAUCACCAGACUCGGCAGGUUUCCUGGAAGAAACCCUAGAAGUGUUCCCAGAUGAGCAGGAAUCCUCCUGGAUCAUCCGAUUUUGUCCUUCAUCGCCUCCCAACGACGGACAAAAGAAAAUGACUGAACUUGAAACAACUCAGUUUCUUUUUUCUUUUCUGUCUAGGAUAAUUUUGUUUAGAAAUUUCAUAAUGUUAUUUUUAUACAUUUAAAAUGUCUUUCAUUGUUAAAGGUUAGUUAGAAUUUAAUGUCUGGUUUAGGUUACUAGAGGAUAAAUCAGUCAUUUUUCAACUGUUAACAUUUUUGUUUCUCGGUUAUUUUUCUCCACAGAAACUACACCUGGUCUGGCGUUCUGAUUGGCUGUGGUUCCUUCCUGGAGGAGGACGUUGGCUGACAUGACGCUGCCAGCCGACCCUUCUCCGUCUCCUGCUGCCAACGUUUCCAUGAACGUAGUAAGUUCUCCUGAACAGUUGCUCUGUUGUGUUUCUGCUCCGUCUUCUCUCAGCUCCAGUCGGUCCUGGCAGGUGGCUGCAGAUACUGAGCCCGGUUCUGGUUCUGCUGGGGGUUUCUUCCUGUUAGAGGGGAGUUCUUCCUCUCCACUGUCGCUACAUGCGUACUCAGAAUGAGGGACUGCUGUAAAGUCAACAACUCAACACAAGCGGUUUGCCGUCGCCCCCUGCUGGUCAGGAGGAGUGAAUGCUGUAAGUAACGACUCCAUACAAUCUGCUGGAUUUUCUUUGGUACAAACCUCUUAAACUAUAAUUAACUUUAAUUUACUGUGAAUUAAUAAAAAUUGGAAUAUAUGUGGGUGAACUAAAAUUAUUUCAGUCCAUUGAGACAACAUUUUUGUGAAUUGACGCUAUAUAAAAUUUAAUACUUAAACCAACAAAUGCACAACAAACAACCAAUAACAAAAAUGUUAAAAACCCCAAAA